ACGCUGGCGGCGUGCUUACACAUGCAAGUCGAACGAGAAAGUUCUUCGGAACGAGUAUAGUGGCGAACGGGUGAGUAACGCGUAAGUAUUUACCCUUUAGUGAAGAAUACCCUCGAGAAAUCGAGGUUAAUACUGCAUACGUCCCUUCGGGGAGAAAGGUGGCCUCUUGCUACCGCUAAAGGAUGAGCUUGCGUACUAUUAGCUUGUUGGUGAGGUAAAGGCUCACCAAGGCUAUGAUGGUUAGCCGGCCUGAGAGGGUGACCGGCCACAUUGGGACUGAGAUACGGCCCAGACUCCUACGGGAGGCAGCAGUGGGGAAUCUUGCACAAUGGGCGAAAGCCUGAUGCAGCGACGCCGCGUGGAGGAUGACGGUCUUCGGAUUGUAAACUCCUGUUAAGAGGGAAGAAAGGCGCGUGGUUAAUAUCCGCGCGAGAUGACGGUACCUCUAGAGAAAGCUCCGGCUAACUUCGUGCCAGCAGCCGCGGUAAUACGAAGGGAGCGAGCGUUAUUCGGAAUUACUGGGCGUAAAGUGCGCGUAGGCGGCCUGUUAAGUCAGUUGUUAAAGACCAUGGCUUACCCAUGGAAAAGCAGUUGAUACUGGCGGGCUGAGAGGGCAAGAGAGAGAAGUGGAAUUCUCGGAGUAGCGGUAAAAUGCGUAGAUCUCGAGAGGAACACCGAUGGCGAAGGCAGCUUCUUGGCUUGUACCUGACGCUGAGGCGCGAAAGCGUGGGGAGCAAACAGGAUUAGAUACCCUGGUAGUCCACGCCGUAAACGAUGAUCACUAGAUGUUGGUUUCGCAUAGCGAGAUCAGUGUCAAAGCUAACGCGUUAAGU
rnacentral:rRNA from 1 species